AAGGAACCAGAGCGUUGCUUCUCCACGUCUUCGCCGAGUCCGUUCGAGCGCUCGCGAUCCACCUGGGAAAUCCGCCGCCAUCCGCAACCACCUCGUGGCCGCCUUGCCAGCUGGCCAAGGGCCGGGUGGUGCCUUUAUAUACCAGUCGCGACCCUUAUUCACCGAAACCGAAGCACCAUCGUUGAAGACACCGCGGCGAGAAGAGAGAAACCGAGAGAAGGGAGAGAGCGCCGCCGCGCAUGGGCAGAGCGUGUCCAUGCGGUCAUUGGGGCCUCGGGACCGAGUCAAGGGGCGUCGCCAGGCCGCGCUGAACAUGACUGUGACUUCGCCUGGGCGGACUUGCGCUCCGGACCACCGGAAUUUCUCGCCGGAAUCCUCGUGCCGCCACACCGCGUGGUCGGGCCCCUCUGCGCCAUAAACUCCGGUCAAAAACAGGUACCGCUGGAGGAGUAUGAAGGAUGCUGCGAUGAGUACGGAGAGGUCUAGGCCGUCGUCUCCCAGUCAACUAUGGUUAUGGAGGAUCGUCAUCGUCAUAUGGUGUAAUUUAUUUAGUUAUUUUAUACAGAAUUCCUAUUAUAUAAUAAAGAUGUGACAUUGAUUUCUGUACCAUGAGUCAUCAUAUGUGUGAGACUUUAUCCUAGCACACAUUUGAGACGCACCCGGGUUUGCCCUUAAAUCUGGGUGUGACACCUAUAAUGAAUGAAAUGUGAUGGAUCAACUUAUUCUAUUCCACAAACCAAAUAAAUAAAGUGAGGAGUGAGAAGAUGAUAGACUACCUUAUUCCUCUAACCAAACACGCCAUUAGUUCCUUUUCCUGGUAACAGAGAAUAUCACUAGUCUUGGUUUGUUUUAUCAUCUGCAGGUGAAUAGACUUGACUCAAUGCUAUGCCUGGUGGUUGUAGGAGGAGGCUGCCGAUCGAGGUCAAGUAUGCUGGCAUCAUGCUUAGUUAGCGAAGACUGCUAUCUCAGAUAGUGAGUACGACAACCUUUCCAAGUUCAAUUUAUAGGCGGCGGCCUUAGUCCUCAUGUAUUGGUGUGUUUAACUUGUCCGCUUUUUAUUAUCAGAACAUCAGUAGGUUUUGGUUUGUUGUCCGCUUUUAUUAUCAGAACAUGAGUGUGUUUAACUUGGCCUCCGCCUCCCCCUCUGCGCGCCGCCUUCUCGUUCGCCCGCAGCUGCACGGCAACACACACCAGCCACAAGCGUAUCAGCUAGCAAUGCCAGUGUAUAAUCGAGAACAGAGUAAAAAGCUCAGACCGAUCUCGUUCAUCGCACGCUUCACGUGCUGGUCUGGCUCAAUGUCCACGAUCAGGGUCUGGACGAUCUCAAAGCCGUCGCCCAGAAUCAGCUUGGGAACGCUGGCUCUGAUAACUGUCCACACCAACCACACACAGACAUCGACCGUUCCAAAAAAUUAUGCUACAAUUGGCAAAUCAAAACGAAAUCACAAAAUACAGACACUAAACUGGACGUGGAUAGCAAUUCGCAAACGGUUAUGCAGAAAAGCUUCUGUGUUUAUUUCUGAGUAAGCAAUAGAAAGCUUCUGCACAUGCACUAGUCAUAUCGAUGCUGUAUUCUCAGGCAGAUUAAUAGAAAGUAUGGCAUAGGUUCCCGAUCCCCGAAGGAAGAAAAGAAUGACCGUCGCCUGGAAAGAUUUUGUCCAUGCAGAGGAGCCGACCGACCGACCGCCCGGUCGCCAGCGAACAAGGGGCGCCCGGACGGUGCCACCUAGCCAAGAAGUCCAGGCACAAGGUCGGAGCCGGAUGACGUCAUUCGACCCCCGCCGGGACUUGUCCAAGCGCCUCCGGGGUUGCCCCGGGGCUCGUGCGAGUAUACCGCCAGUAUGUAUGCGACUUCACUUGUUUUGGGUACAAGUACUUGUUUUGAUUCUUUUUUUUGAGUACUUGUUUUGGGUACAAGUACUCAAAGAAUAUAUCAAAUGUUUGAAUGGUAAUUACAGAUAUUAAAUAUAGUCUGAUUACAAAACUAAUUGCACAACUGAAGACUAAAAUACGAGACAAAUUUAUUACACCUAAUUAAGCAUAUAUUUAAUACUUAUAAUUGAUAUUCAAAUAUUUGAUGUGACACGAACUAAACUUUAAUCGGAAGAACCAUACACCAAUUAAUAAAUAGUGAUAACAAAAGUAGGGGUUAAAGACCUCGUUUGUCGGGACCUCUAGCAGGGUGGAUGGAUUAUACAACCCUAUUAAGGCCCUGUUUAGAACCUCUAAAGCUAAUAGUUAGAUGUUAAAAAAAUAGUUGCUGGGUUCCAAACACCCCCUGCUAAUACUGCAACUAAUUGUUAGCUACCUCAUAACUAAUAAUUAGUCCCUUCUUCACCGUUUUGCUGAAAAUGUAAGUGAUCUACAUGAAUUUAGUGUGAGGAACCUGAAAUGAGGAUAAUGUUUCAAAACAAACAGUUAUUGAGCUAAUAACAAAAAAAAAUGAACAACAUAUACUGUCUCCGUCCCAAAACAAGUGAUGUGUCAUAAGUCAAACAAUUUUUAAGUUUGAUCAAAUUUAUAGAAAAGAACAUUAAAACUUAUGACACCAAAUAGGCAAAAUAUGAAAAUAUAUUCCAUGAUAAAUCUAACAAUACUUAUUUAGUAUGAUAAACAUUAGUACUUCUUUAUAUAAAUUUGGUUAAACUUAAAAUGGUUUGGCUUAAGACAAACCUAAAACAUCUCUUAUUUUGGGACCGAGGGAGUAUCUCUCAAAUCAUAAUGUAGCAUGAGUGGUAAAGAGUAUUUGAGAAAUGGACUACGUGCUGGCUGAUUCAUAUGGCUGUCUCCAUCAACAGAGAAAAGAAUUUUUAGUGCAGUUCCAAGACCAAGAACUUCCCCACAGUCGACACUACUCGCAUCCAACGCAGUCCAUAAUUGCACUAAUCGAGAAAAUUUUACAUGGUGAGGACCAUUUUCGCCUUUUAGAGUUUGGCUUCAUCAAAAGGCAAUGGACAUGCAGAUCCUAACUUGGAAUUGUAAAGCAAUUGCUUCACAAGAGAUUCUGCACGCUCACCUGUGCAAGUACAGUAAUCAUAGGUCAUGAAUCAUGCCAGGUAUUUUGUAAUACGAUAACAAGAGCUACACUUGCAGUACGAUCUUUCAACUGUCUGAUAUAUUCUUUGAGAUGUUUUUCAUAUUCUCUUAACAUGUCCGUAGCACCACCUAUACUUAGCUCAAGACUUUUCUCUAAGUGUCCAAUAUUUAUUCUAGAGGAAACAGAUCUAAAAAAAUUCAAUCAUGAUUGUCGGUACCCCAUAACUGGGGUACCCACUCCCACUGUGUCAAGACAUAGUGUUCACACGGUUAUCCCUAAUCGUGCGUUAAGGAACUGAGCAACUCGACCUUUUCACGACUCGCCCGAGGCCGAAUCCGAGCGGGAGACACAGUCGUGACUCGCCCGAGACCAACCUCGGACUGGUCGCGACUUUCCGAUUCGCUCGAAGGCGUCUCGGGUGUCUGUCCCCGUCUUAUGGGUAGGACCAGUGCAGCCACGUGUCCAAGGAAGUAAUAUGCUCAGGAACUUCACCAACGGGUUCGGACCCAUGGAUGGGUCCCGGACCCCAUAAACACAGUCCGGACACCCCUGGUAGGACCGGGACCCCCCCGCAUGGGGUCCGGGUCGUUAACAAGGGCUCCCGUCGCCCUGGGGCAGGACAUGCUCCAGUCCCCGUCCAGACCCAAGCAGGGGUCCGGUCACGCCACAUGCCUGCUAAGCGUAUAGUACGAAUCUUCGCACGGAAGCAAGACCUCAGCCCGCAUUAAAUGCAGGGCAGUCGUGGUGCGCUCUGACUAGGCGCAGGGCAUGACAGACCUGUGACAAGUCUGUGUAGCCACACCGCGCAUGCAGAGGUUGGCAGAGCCGCGCGCAUUGAAUGCUCGCUCAGCGUCCCACGUGUUACCGAGGUCGCUGACCCACGCACGCGGGCGACGCCAUCAUGAAGCGCCGUUCGGCCGGAUAUCGUAUCCGUUACAGUGCCCGGCCGAACGUGACAGUGCAGGCGGCUUCUCACGCCCCUACACCUGUCGGCAUGCCAGACUACGCCGCACCCUAUAGUAACAGGCCUUUGCCCACACACCGACAAGACAGGGCAAAGGAGAUGCUGGUUGGGAGAUCCGCGCGACGACCAAGGGAAAGUCCUUAUCCGCCGGCAGAAGAUUAGCUAUUCUGUAUAGUAUAUUUUUAUACUCCUAGGCCCACCUGUUAGGGCUCAUUUUCACUGUAAGCGCCUCCCUUGAACUAUAAAAGGGAAGGCACACAGCACUACAGGGGAACAGACUCUUACACACGCUCAUACGCUCACACGCAGCUCAAGCAAUACAACUCACUCACAGUGGAUGUAGGGUUUUACGCUUCGGUGGCCUGAACCACUAUAAACCCUUGUGUCCUUGUUCAUCGGAUUAGCCAGGCAAACGCUUAAGCCCCCUCCUCAUCUCAGGAUCUUGGGCGGGUGCACUCCGCCACCCGGCCGGAUGAAUCGUUUCCCUCCGUCAUUUGGCGCGCCAGGUAGGGGGUUUUAAGGCUUAGAUUUUUUGCCUGUUUUCUCCUUGCUCGACAUGAUGGUACAGAUCGUCGAGCACCGCGACUCGUACACCGAGGACUUCCUGAUGGGAGAGGAGGCAACGUCUUCUGUGCCGCGAGGCUCUUACCACCCUGCGCCUGGUGCUGCUGCUGUGCAUGCUGCACAGCAGCACACGCUGGUGCAGGCAUCUAGAACUCCCUCGCGGGCUGCUCCUGGCGGCGCGCUGUCAGCGGCUAGGGAGUUGCUCCGCAAUCCCCCAAGCUCCACGGCCUCGCCGGGGGCCAUAAGGCAAUGGCGUGAAGACGUUGAUCGCCUCCUCAGCAUGGCCCAGACCACUCCUGGCUCAGCCAGGACUGGGCCACGACCAUCCCGGCGUCAACGCGACGCGUCAGCAUCCGUGUGCUCACCCUCAGUGAGGGGUGCGUGGACUGACGACCUACGGGUAGAACUCGACCGCAGGCGUGUGGGCGAGGAUGCUCGUGUCUCCCUAGAAAGGGCGCGGGAGCACCGGCAAAACAUUGAGGGUCGCAACCUCGAUCGGGACUUUGGUGCAGUUGCGCCGCAAGCCCCAGGUGACGCCUGAGUCUAGACGGGCGCACCAGUGGCUGGCGUGGGCUGCGCCACGCUCGCGGAUCAUCUCCACGUGGCGACUUGGCCGCCCAAGUUCCGGCCACACCUGCUGGACAAAUACGACGGUACGUCAAACCCGUCGGAAUUCUUGCAGGUCUACGUCACCGCCAUUACGGCAGCUGGUGAAAAUGCCACCGUGAUGGCAAGCUACUUCCAUGUAGCCUUGACCGGGCCGGCCCAGACUUGGCUUUGAACCUCACCCCAGGGUCGAUCUACUCCUAGGAAGAGCUCUGUACGCGGUUCACCACUAACUUCGCCAGCGCUUAUCAACAACAUGGUGUGGAGGCCCACCUCCAUGCAGUGAGGCAGGAACCCGAGGAAACCCUCCGGACAUUCAUUUCCCGCUUCACUAAGGUACGGGGAACCAUACCUUGUAUCUCCGACGCUUCCAUUAUCACUGCCUUCCGACAGGGGGUACGUGAUGAGAAGAUGUUAGAAAAGCUGGCGACGCACAAUGUAGAAAGCGUCACCACGCUCUUCGCCCUGGCCAACAAAUGUGCCAGGGCCGCCGAGGGUCGGGCAUGGCACUCGGCACCGCAGGCUGGGGCUGCCCAGACGGGUGGCUCUGGUGCUGCUGCUCAGGGUGGCGGUGCCGCUGCUCAGGGCGGUGGUGCCGUUGCUCAGGGCGGCGGCAAGAAGAAGAACCGCGGUGGCGAGAAGCCGCUGUCCGGUGCUCUGGUCGCCGCAGCUGCAGCUAGGGGCCAGGAUACGCGUGGCAAGCGCCCACGCCAGCAAGGUGGUGACAGUGGGUCGUGCCCAAUUCAUCCCAACAGCCACCACAGCGCAUCGGAGUGCCGUGAGAUUCUAAAGCUCGCGAAGCGCAUCAGUGAGCGGCGCGAACAGGCCUCCAAGGAAGGCACGCUGCCUCACCGCUGGCCUGGCAAGGAGAAGGCCGAUGACUUCAAUGCGACCGCGGGCGAGCGGGACCUCAUGUACCAGUCCCCCGAGCAAGUCCUGAGGGACGUCCUCUUCGGGGACUCCGACUCCGGCGACGACGACCGCCGCAAGAAGCUGUACGUAAUGUAAGGCGGGAGCUGGGAGCUCGUCUCCUGGAGGGAUGUAAAAUCCCUGCGCCGCAGGGUCCUCUCGGCAACCCCGGGCAUCCCAAAGGCGGCUCCUCAUCAGCGAUGGCGGAGUACCACCAUCUCCUUCAGGGCAUCUGACUGCCCCGAUAACAUGGCGGGGCCCAGCAUACUGCCGCUCAUCACCGCCCCCGUCAUCACCAACAUAAGGUUGCACCACGUGCUGAUCGACGGUGGGACCGACCUCAACGUCAUCAGCCAUGCUACGUUCAAGCAGCUCCAGAUCCCAGAAUCCAAGCUGGGACCCUCUCGCCCAUUCUCCGGGGUGGGCCCUUAGCCGGUGUAUCCCCUUGGGAGCAUCGCGCUCCCGGUUACGUUUGGGACCGAGGAAAACCUCCGCACCGAGAGCGUUCCGUUCGACGUCGCGGAGGUUAACCUCCCGUUCAAUGCCAUCAUUGGCAGACCGGCCCUGUACCGGUUCAUGGCCAUUGCCCACUACGGGUACUUGGUCCUGAAGAUGUCGUUCCCUGCUGGUGUCCUCACCGUGCGGGGCGACCAGGCUGCAGCACUCUGUAGGAUCUAGGACACCGGCUAGAGGUGGGGGGUGAAUAGACGGUUUUGACUAAAAACAAAGACACUAGAGAAAUUUAAUCAAUACGACAAGAGAUAUAAAUUCUCUAGCUACAACAAGUAAGCAUUCUAUGAGAAACAACUAUGAUAGUGCUAGAAAUGAGAGUCAAUACACAAAUUACUAACUACUUGCAAAGUAAUAAGUAAUGCGGGAAGAGAAUGACACCAGAUUUUAUCCCAUGGUAUCGGUGAUUUGCCGAUCACCCCUAAUCCACGUUGAGGUGGACUUCAAGCUCUCACUUGCUCCUCUAUCAAGACGCGGCUUGAUCUUUGAGCCAAGUGGACAAGAAAUCGCUCAAUACCUCGAUUCCACUAGCGUCGCCUUUGCCGCUCCGGUGAGGUAGGCGCGAACCCCUCACAAUCAACACCGCGACUCCUCCACAAUCUUUUUGGAGAGCUCGACGGAGACAACACCCGAGCCGUCUAGGAGGCGGCAACCUCCAAGAGUAACAAGCCGAUGACGCUUGCCCGGUGUACCACCUAGUGCCUCAAGAAUCACCAAUGGAUGCAAAUGCACUAGGAGCUCUCAAUCUCUCACUAGAAUGCAAUCCCAAGCAAAGAGUGUGAGAGAAUGAGUGGGAGAAUCACAAAUGAGCUCAAUGUGUGCUAGGAAUGGCCAAGAGAGUCCUCACACACGAGCUCCCCUUCUAUUUAUAGCCCACCUCUCAAAACCAACCGUUAUGUGCAAAAAGCACAGCUUCUGCGCACACGCGGACGGUCCGCGCCCUUAGGCCGAACGGUCCGCCGUACCAGUAAUGGCUAGAUUUCCUGUUUGAAACUUGUUAGAGUUGUCAAAAAAGGCAGGUCCAGACGGUCUUCCUCCCACGGCCGGACGGUCCGAGACCUGGCAACUUAAACACACCC